UAAGUAUUACCAGGCUACUAAAAACACCA
rnacentral:piRNA from 1 species